rnacentral:lncRNA from 1 species
AUGAAAUGGCUGGGUCUCCCAGCUUUUACAUCAGUACUGCCCCCAGCAUCGCUAACAGGGGUGGGAUAAUCACUACUAGAUCCAGUAGAAAUGUUAUACAUGGAUGAAUUGUCCACACUACCAGGUAAAGGUGUCGGCACAUUCCCAGGUAAAGGUGUUUGCACAUUCCCAGGUAAAGGUGUUUGUGCACUUCCUGGCAAUGGUGUCUGCAUGGGGGUUUGCAAAGGUGUCUGCAAUUCCAAAAACCCACGUAAGAAAUAGAAAUUCCAACAGCCAAAAUAACUGAACUCAUGAAUCGCUUCAAAAAUCACAUACAACUAACAGAUAUCAAAACUGCCACCGACAAUUACUUAAGAAUUCAAAAACUACUCAACUAAAAUCACGAUUUACCAGUACAAAGACUGGAUAAUGUGAAAGGAAAGUGUUUCCACUAGCUCGUUUCAAUUUCAGGUUCAGAGAAUUCAAAGAAGUGCUAAAAACGAGUAUACCAGCGGAAUCACUUGACGAAAUUCAGUGUUAAUGACAAGAAAAUUG